UACGAAGGGGGCUAGCGUUGCUCGGAAUUACUGGGCGUAAAGCGCACGUAGGCGGCUCUUUAAGUCGGGGGUGAAAUCCUGGAGCUCAACUCCAGAACUGCCUUCGAUACUGAAGAGCUCGAGUCCGGGAGAGGUGAGUGGAACUGCGAGUGUAGAGGUGAAAUUCGUAGAUAUUCGCAAGAACACCUGAGGCGAAGGCGGGCUACUGGGCCGAUACUGACGCUGAGGCGCGAAAGCCAGGGGAGCAAACGGG
rnacentral:rRNA from 1 species